AUUAUACGAUAGCACUUUAUAUAUUUUAUUGUUUUUAUCCUAGGACACUUCUGUUAUCCACUGUCAGCAAGAAGCUCAUAAGCUGUGACUGAAAGAUAGCACGGGAAGUAAGGAAUGGAAGGUCAACAACACUGCUGCAAUGAAGACUGGCCCCAUAGAAGGCCACAUCCGCAGAGCACCCAGCAGCCUGUCAUCAAACUGGAGUAAGGGAUCAGGCACCAUGAACACAGUUCAGGUCAUGGCUCCUAGACCCAUGUUGCGGAUUCUGAUAAAUGGAUGUUGACAAACCUCUCUGGAGGUUACAACUAGACAGUAUCCUUAAGCCACAUACCCGUAAAACAAAAUCUGGGAUUCUGGCCUGAACAGUAGACAUUUAUAUCCAAAAUGUGAGGACACAAAAAUGGGAGUGAAAGUAUUAUUGAACAGUGUAAGUCAAUGAGUAGCUGACUAAUAGCUCUACAUAAUUUCAAUAACUGCAAGCACUGUACAUGGAAGGAAACUAGUUUUGGUGAGGAUGCACUGUCCUCAUCCCAUUUGUGCCACUAACGAACUAUGUUACUCUCUCCAAUACUGUUUCACUUCUGUAGGUCCGACUCUCGGUCUGUAGGCAGUAAUAAAAACAA